UACGUAGGGUGCAAGCGUUAAUCGGAAUUACUGGGCGUAAAGCGUGCGCAGGCGGUUUUGUAAGUCUGUCGUGAAAGCCCCGGGCUCAACCUGGGAAUUGCAUUCGAGACUGCAUUGCUGGAGUACGGAAGAGGAAGGCGGAAUUCCCGGUGUAGCGGUGAAAUGCGUAGAUAUCGGGAGGAACAUCAGUGGCGAAGGCGGCCUUCUGGUCCAGUACUGACACUCAAGUGCGAAAGCGUGGGGAGCAAACAGG
rnacentral:rRNA from 1 species